rnacentral:rRNA from 1 species
GACGAACGCUGGCGGCGUGCUUAAUACAUGCAAGUCAACUUGACUUUAGAUAGCAAUAUCGAAAAGUAGGGUGGCGCACGGGUGCGUAACGCGUAGGUAAUCUGCCCUGAGGUCUGACAUAACCCGUCGAAAGGCGGGCUAACAUCAGAUGAUAUAUAAUCACGACAUCGUGGAAAAUAUCAAAUCUUCGGAGCCUUGGGAUGAGCCUGCGUCUGAUUAGGUAGUUGGCGGAGUAAUAGCCCACCAAGCCUACGAUCAGUAGCUGGUCUGAGAGGAUGAUCAGCCACACUGGAACUGAGACACGGUCCAGACUCCUACGGGAGGCAGCAGUAAGGAAUAUUGCUCAAUGGGGGAAACCCUGAAGCAGCAACGCCGCGUGAAGGAUGAAAUACUUUGUAUGUAACUUACUGUAAGAUAGGAAAGUAAUUACUCUCGGA